rnacentral:rRNA from 1 species
UACAGAGGGGGCCAGCGUUAUUCGGAAUUAUUGGGCGUAAAGGGCGCGUAGGCGGCCUUGCGUGUCUUUCGUGAAAUCCCUCGGCUUAACUGAGGACGUGCGGAAGAAACUGCAGGGCUGGAGUCCGGGAGAGGGGGGUGGAAUUCCCAGUGUAGCGGUGAAAUGCGUAGAUAUUGGGAGGAACACCGGUGGCGAAGGCGGCCCCCUGGACCGGUACUGACGCUGAGGCGCGAAAGCGUGGGUAGCAAACGGG